rnacentral:rRNA from 1 species
CACUCCUGCGGGAGGCAGCAGUGGGGAAUUUUGGACAAUGGGCGAAAGCCUGAUCCAGCAAUGCCGCGUGAGUGAAGAAGGCCUUCGGGUUGUAAAGCUCUUUUGUCAGGGAAGAAACGGUGAAAGCUAAUAUCUUUUGCUAAUGACGGUACCUGAAGAAUAAGCACCGGCUAACUACGUGCCAGCAGCCGCGGUAAUACGUAGGGUGCAAGCGUUAAUCGGAAUUACUGGGCGUAAAGCGUGCGCAGGCGGUUUUGUAAGUCUGAUGUGAAAUCCCCGGGCUCAACCUGGGAAUUGCAUUGGAGACUGCAAGGCUAGAAUCUGGCAGAGGGGGGUAGAAUUCCACGUGUAGCAGUGAAAUGCGUAGAUAUGUGGAGGAACACCGAUGGCGAAGGCAGCCCCCUGGGUCAAGAUUGACGCUCAUGCACGAAAGCGUGGGGAGCAAACAGGAUUAGAAACCCCGGUAGUCC